ensembl:lncRNA
CUGGAAUAUCACACCUAUAUUUCUCUGUAUCAUAAUUCAGUAAGUUAAUAAAAGAUGUUCUGUUCAAAACCUGUAAGGACUCAUGAGGUACGUACUAGCAAAUUAUAAUUGUUAACGCCCCUGUGGAAGGAAAAUGUCAAUAAAUAUUUGUUAUCGCUGGCCUGUUUGGAAACAAAGGCAUUUGCUUCACAGAAGUUCACAUGCCAGACCUUUUUAUGCAUCUUUUCCAGCAGUCCAUUCAAUUAGACAUCUAACAUUUUGUUUCUUUUCAGACAAGGAAGUUAAAAUAACCUCAUAGAAUCAAAAAUAAAGCAUAAAAGCACGAAGGCAUCCUGUAUUCUAUGGUAAAAUAGCACUUGAGCUCAUUUCAGGGAUCCGAAUGCAGCCACAGAGCUGAGCUCCAGCACUUCACCAUUGCACACUAAAGCAGCAGUAAAGGGCAAAAAUCUAAAUGCAUAGUACCGUAAUGCAAAGAAAUGCCCCAACAACAUGUGGCUGCUGACAACUGCAAUCCAUACCUAUGGAUAAUCUCCCCUGGCCAAAUGACUCAACUAAAAUCAGACUUAACUGCAACUCUUCUCCUCCGGCGAGAGAUAUAGAGUAUGUUUGGUUCUGACUUCUCCCUCAUGUCACUGCAGUCCAGACUCAUCCUGCUACUGAAGGAGGAGGUAAAGCUUAAUUUCUAGAUGACUGAAAAAAGCAAAUGCUAUCAUUUUCAAACGCAGGUGGUGAGCUGCUAUAGGCAUUCAGAACUGCCCUGCAGAAAUACCAGGAAAACUUACUUAUGCCACCAGUGCCUCAAAGAGCUCUUAACACAUCCUUGCACUGUGCCAUUCCGCUUCAUUCUGCUUCUUGUUGAGCUCUUGUAUUUCCCUCAUUUUAUCUCCGGGUGUGUCUGAAGCUGUAGUUCUAUUCUAAAGACUAGGAUUAACAUCUAACACAUGCUGUGAUGAUUUGGCAAAUCAGCCUCUGCACCACUAAAAUGAAUGCUGUUUUACAGCAUGGACUGCACUGCAUGUGUUUCAGCCAGCACAGCCCCUGUAGGCUGGAGCUUCCUUGCCUUCUCCGUAGCUUUUUGUCCUCUUGUUGAUGCAAAGACUAGAGGAGUUGCGGGGUGCAUCCAUUUACCUGGCUACAGUGGAGCAUCCUUAAAAUGCAAGAAACUAGCCAUGCAAAUGAGACAGAAAUGGCUGCCACCCAAGGCAGAGGAAUUUUUCCAAGUCUGAACCCUAUGCAGGAAGCAACUUCUUAGUAACUAUUUGUUUUAUGGAUUCAUUUGAGGAGCUGAUAAAACUGAAAAGAGGGCUCCUGAGGUGUUUCACUAAUCAGGAGGACAGGGAUCUGCAUUUCUCAGAAGUCAUAUGCAGGAGUUUGGGUCUAGAAGAACUGUGACCUACUUAGAAGACUCUGACUUAAGCCCCAAAUAAUGCUCUUGCUCAAGCAUGAAUUACAAGCAGCUGAAGAAAGAUGAGCUUUCGCACUUGCGCUCCAGCCAAGUUUGCCCACAUCUAAUGAGGAAAAGUAGGAUUCGGUGCCAUUUUGUAUUCCCGUGAUGUGGUGCAGAUGGAGGCUCGGCACACGCUCCUUUGCCUCCCCUUGCAAAGCGCAGAGCUGGAAAGCAUCAGGUUGAAGAGCAGAGGAAGUGGUGGCUGUGAGAAGCUACCUCACCCAUGGGAGUAGAGCCGGCAGCAGCUCUGGUGACUGGAGAUGGCUGAGCUGGAAGAAAAUAUUAAACAGCCCAUGGCCAAAAGCUUGGGGAGUUACAGCAGCAGCCAUCCAUGGAGGGAGGAGAAAGGCUGAGCCAUCACACCUCAGCUUGAAAGACCUUGGCAGAGGUAAAGAGGGUGGCACACAGGCGCUGGCCUCAGCCCUGAGCUGGGUGCAUGCCUCGCUGUGUGCCAGGCCCAGGCCCUGUCUGCAGCCAUGUGGACCCAUGUCCCAUGGAAGGGAAGUGCAACCGAGCUGAGCGCUGCAGUGAGUCAGCCUUCUGAUGCAAGAUGGGAAUGCAGCUGGGCUGGGCAUUGCUGUGGGAUUAUAAAGUAAAAAAAAUGGAAAAAAGCCCUUGGGGAAAGGGAAUGCAACUGAUGGGAGAAACAGCGGAAGAGGUGGACAGGAUGCAUCCUCUGUGCAUGCUUCGAGCACUGGGCCGUCUGUGGAUGUGAGUAAGGCUCCCGAAUUCUGUCAUCAAGGCCACACUGGGCUGCCCGUGGUGCACAGGCUCAAAGUGCACAACACUACCUGCUCACCAGGUCAGGGUUGCCCCACGCUGCAGGCAGGGUUUUGUUCAGCAAGAGAAAGGUUUUCUACAUAAAAGGCCUUAUAUCCAAAAGACACCAUUUUAACUUGGCCACAGCAGCACUGGAAAUGCAUUCUGGGGAACAGGAAAAGUCCACGGGGCGGCUGUUGUCAGAAAACAGUUUCUGGAAAAAAUUAAAGUUCUCCUGAGGCAUGUAGAAAAAUUCCAGGACACUGUAUUAUUAUUGUUGUUAUUAUUACCCUUGAUCUUUUGGAAGGUGGAGAGGGAGCACAUGCCGUUUUAAAGAAAGAAGACAGGACAUCUGCAGCCUUUAAAAAGCAAAGCACAAAGGCUGCUGGGCUCUCCUUACAGCAUUUUUAAUUAUCUUCCUUAAGUUUCCCAAAUAAAAACAUCACAUUGAGCCUCACCCAAUAAAGCUAUGUGGGUAAAUACAAUACCCAUUGUCUAAUCAAUAUCAUAUUGCUCAUGGCUUUAGCUCGUUCAAUAUCUGAGAUCACUGCCUCCCGACUCACACCUAAGGAUGCCAAUAUCUGCUUAAUGUUGGACAAACUGCAGUUGUCAUUCCCUGUAACAGAGUUCUUUAAUCUCAUUAAUAACCUACAGAUACCAAAGUGCAGCUUCAAGUAAAGCUGGCUGGAGCGUGCCAGAUUUCCAGUGUGCAGUUUCAGCUCUGGAGUGGGGUGGGUUAAAGAGCCCUGGUCCUGCUGGGGCUGCAGCCCCUGCCCCACUGCUGCUGUGCUAGGGCACCCAUGAACAAAUUAAAAAAAAAAAAAAGUCAAAUGCAGAGGGCGAAGAGGUAAGGGUAUGAGCUCAGCCAGAUGCCGUGACUAGGACAAAGUGUAUGACUGAAGUAUAUCCUCCAAAAUACUCUUUCUGGGAGCAGCAGUGCUGUGUGCUUGGUGCGGGCAUGCCAUUGUGCCCACCCAUCAUCCCCACUGGAACCCCGGGGCAAGCAAAGGGCAAGCAGCGAGAGCGCACCUGGCCCAAGGCCUGUCCCAGCAGUGCAUCCAUGAGCCCCGCAGCCCCGCGCAGCUGUCCGGGCGCGAUGCCGCCGCGUCCGAGCUCAGCACAGCUCUGGGGAGCCCAGAAUGUAUCGUGAAAUAAAAACAGCUGCGAGGGAAACUCAUAUGACUAGGAUAGGUGCCAUCUAGCAAUUAACAGCCAGAAGUUUUGAUCUGGAAAAUCACAUUUAUUUUAAUUGCUUCGCUGUUGUGUUCAUAAAGAAUUUGGCUCAUUUUAGUAUUUUCCUUAUUAGAUAUACGAUUUAACUUUGGAACAAUGUAGUCAUUAGUUCCAUUGUUCCAGAUAUUUCAUCACGGGGAAAUGAAUGAUGGAGACAUGUUCUGCAAGGAAGACUGUUUAUAAAUAUUUAUCCUUGUCUUAACAGAUAUUUGUGUAAUCCAGCCGAGUUUUCUAGCACAGAAUUCAGCAGUUGUUAAUCUGGCGCAUGGCAAGCUGCACAUCUCCUAACCUCUGAGCUCAGCAAGCGAUCUUAUCAAAAGGACAAAGUGAGAGAAGUACACUUUUGUUUUACAAUUAUUUCCUUUUCAAGACCCAAUUCUUUCCACUCCCUUCCGUGGGAAGACACGUGUGUCAGAUUGCCACCACCGCUGCCAUUCACUGACAUGCUGACCCCGCGGCAGGCGCUGCCCUCAGAGCCCUGUGCCAUAGGCAGGAUCGGGCCCUGCACACGCGGCUGGGAGGGGAGCUGUAAAAAAUGCAUGGGCCCUUCUGCUGCGAAUGAGGCUGCUCAGCUGAAAGGAACUGGGAGGUGAAAAAUGGAAUUUGGCAGUUCUGUGCCGCUCCACCAUUUGGUGCUUGUUGUGGGACUCCAGCAAAAGGGAGCUAUCACUGCGGGCAUAAUUUACUUGAUUUUAAGGAUCUGUAUGAAUUCUGGCACCAGACCAAGUAGCCAUUAGCUAUGAGGAGUGCUUCCCGAUGCUCAUUUGUUUUCCAUGUGUGAAUUUUCACUCAUCCGAACUUUCUUUAGAAAAAAUUUUUCUUCAUCAAUUCCAUGUGGAAAAUGCAACAGAAACCCAGAUAAUAAAUUAUUCAAGAAACACAACAGUUUUUGUUUUUUUAAAUGGAAAACUACUAGUUCUGGAAUCAGACUGUCUGCCUGCUUUGAUUUCUGAUAUCUUAAAGCUAAGUGUUAUAAAAUGAUACGGUUGUUCACAUGCUCCAGGAUAGGCUUUUGGGCAAAUUACCCUAAAUAAGGUAACUCAAUAGCCAGGUAGGCAGGCUUUAAUGCUAUUACUAUUAGGAAAAUACCAUUAAUAUGAGACAUAUGCGGGCCACUAUUACAUCAGCAGGGCCUCACUCACGCAGUAUGUGGGAGCAGUGCUGUGGAUCGUAGCAGCGGUGCUGGGCCUUCACACACGUAACGUGCCUUAGUCUUGAGGUCAAAAUCUGUUAAUGCAAUUUUGAGUAUAAGAACAAGAAUUUAAAAUCCAUGUGGUUUUAAUGCCAUGUUCUGAGAUGGGGGGGCAGGGGAUGAUUUGUUGCAUUUCUUUAUUUGGGCUGCUCGCACUGAACGUGAACUCCUUUGAAAUGUGUGUGUGUCACAUCAAGACUAACUUGUGAGAUGUGAUGAACAAAAACAAAAUCUCAUUCCAUUUCUUUGCUCAAAAAGUUUGAUUUUGGUUGUGUUUCAAAUUAUAAGGACCAUUAUUGGUAAUCUGCAUUUACUUCUCAUUGAAGCAUUACAUAAUAAACCAAAACCGUGUGUCAGAUGUACCGCUCCCAAAUAAGUGCACUGAGAUAAAGUGAGACCUCUAAGAGGAUGCCUGCCUUUACAACGAGAGUAUUCCCAUUUCAAACAAUUAAUAUAUUUGGGUUUCUUCAUUUCUGCGGUCUCGUAGCACAACUUAUAGCUAAAGCGCUGUGUUGAACAUGCAUAUUUUGGACCGAGCUCUUC